rnacentral:lncRNA from 1 species
UCUCCCUCACUUGAGCUUUCUUUCUUUCUCUCUCUAUCUGAUUGUCACUUAGAAUCUCCAUUAUUUUUCUGAGGUAAUCUGACUUAAAUAUUGGAGAGUUCUUCGUCCAAAACCUCCAACAAGCAAACUUCCUCUAUUUUUGAUGCAGUUAGGAUCGAUCAUAAUGUUGGAGUAAAGAUUUGACCACCAUCAAUUACCUC